UAUGUGUACCUGGUAGUGUAGACUGAGAGCCACCACUUUCACCCCAUCUUCUUUCCAGUGUGCAAUAAGAGAGCCAAUUCUAUUCCAUUAGAAGUCUUGUGACAUACCAUAGAACUGAAAUCACUGAUACCUAAGCAUUAGACCUACUUUGGGCUAGUGGUGCACCUGCACUGAGGCUCCCCCCUCCUACUAGCUGAAGUCACUAAGUGCUGUGUUAAGUAGGAGGGGAGCCUGAAGACAAGUUGGUGGAGCGGACGGAGCCAGGUGGCUGGCGGAGAGCAGAGUGGAGCAGCCAGCAGGACAGCUGGCUGAGAAGUGAAGACUGUAGCAGAACCCCAUGGAGAGGCAUGGCACUUGGCCAUCAACCUGAGCAACGGAGCAUUUGCUGAAAGGAGGCCAGAAGGAGAAUAGCGCUUCAUGAAAGUGGCUUCCCAGUGCUAUAGCAGGGCUAAACAACUCUUUUGUUUGCAUUCAGAAGAUCAUUUCCUCUGGCACAACAAGACACAAAACUUUUAAAGACUUCAAACUAAAAAUGACCCUGCUGAUUGGGAGAACUGGGGAAAGGCAUAGAGAAGCCGGCCUGACCAGGACAGGAGAAAGGCAUCGGAGAUAGCGUGCCUCCCCAGGCCUCCCCUGGAGCAGAACUGGGGGCAUCGCCGGUUCUGCUGAGUCGCGAAUAGGUCCACCUGGGGAGUUUCCCACCUUUGGAAGAGCUGGUGGGCCACUUCCAGGUGGAGGAACCACUUGUGUUGCGAGGAAAAGUCCCUGCUCAAGCGUUCCGGGCGCCAGGUCCAAGCCGGUGCACGUGGACAGGAGGAGCGCCACGUGAUCCCUCACCCGUGACUGGGAGGUGCCCCUGACAAGCCAGUCCAGAUAGGGGAAUAACUGGACACCGCCAUCUGAGAUAGGCCGCUACCACCGACACCCUGGGGGCAGUGGACAGACCAAAUGGAAGGACCUUGAAUUGAGCUUUCCCAUCAAACGGGAGAUCCUGGAUGGAAGACUGCGCUUCGCUGGACAGCCCGGAGAGUAGGAGUCAUGAUGCCCAUCUCAUGGACACCGCAGAGGCCACUGAUCGUGCGGCCGUGUCCGCAGAAUCCGAAGCUGCCUGCAGGGACGCCCUAGCAGCCGCUGUGCCUUCCUCCACUAGCGCUUUAAACUCCUUCCUAUUGUGCUCAUGGAGGGAGUCCUCAAACUUAGGCAGGGAGCCCCACAGAUUGAAUUUGUACCAGCCCAGGAGAGCCUGAUGGUUCGC